AUACUUUUUUGGCAGUACAUGUACUAGAAUUGGACGGUACAGAGAAGAUAAAACAUGGUCCUUGUGCACGGAUGACACGCAAAUUCUUGAGGCGUUUCAUAUUAUA